rnacentral:rRNA from 1 species
GUCGAACGAACCGUUUCGGCGGUUAGUGGCAGACGGGUGAGUAACACGUAAGUAACCUGCCCUUAAGUGGGGAAUAGCUCUGAGAAAUCGGAAUUAAUACCGCAUGUGAUGUUGAUGGUAAAGCGUCAUCAUCAAAGGCUUCGGCCGCUUGAGGGGGGGCUUACGCCCGAUUAGUUAGUUGGUGAGGUAAAGGCCCACCAAGGCAUCGAUCGGUAGCUGGUUUGAGAGGACGACCAGCCACACUGGGACUGAGACACGGCCCAGACUCCUACGGGAGGCAGCAGCAAGGAAUAUUGGACAAUGGGCGAAAGCCUGAUCCAGCGACACCGCGUGAAGGAAGAAGGCCUUCGGGUUGUAAACUUCUUUUCCCGGGGAAGAAUAAUGACGGUACCCGGGGAAUAAGCCUCGGCUAACUACGUGCCAGCAGCCGCGGUAAUACGUAGGAGGCAAGCGUUAUCCGGAUUUACUGGGCGUAAAGCGGGCGUAGGUGGCCUGUCAAGUCGGAUGUGAAAUCUCCCGGCUUAACUGGGAGGGUGCGUUCGAUACUGAUGGGCUAGAGUGCAGUAGAGGAAAGCGGAAUUACCGGUGUAGUGGUGAAAUGCGUAGAUAUCGGUAAGAACACUAGUGGCGAAGGCGGCUUUCUGGGCUGUAACUGACGCUGAGGUCCGAAGGCGUGGGGAGCGAACAGGAUUAGAUACCCUGGUAGUCCACGCAGUAAACGAUGGAUACUAGGUAUAGGGAGUAUCGACCCUCUCUGUGCCGAAGCUAACGCUUUAAGUAUCCCGCCUGGGGACUACGGCCGCAAGGCUAAAACUCAAAGGAAUUGACGG